rnacentral:lncRNA from 1 species
UUGGUUUUUCCCACAAAAGAAAAAUUGUGGAGAAUCAAAAUUAUUUCUUUUAUGAUUGUUUGAUUCUUGUAAAUAAAUGAAUGUGAAUAUUUUAAAAUUUUUAUAACAUGUCAUGCAUAUAUUAGAAGUAUGUCAUAUAGAUUAGGUAAGAAUGUCACUAGGACUAUUGUAUGAUCAUUUUUGAAAUAUAGGAUAAAAAAACCUUGC